rnacentral:rRNA from 1 species
GUAGGGAAUAUUGGGCAAUGGAUGGAAGUCUGACCCAGCCAUGCCGCGUGCCGGAUGAAGGCGCUCUGCGUUGUAAACGGCUUUUAUUCGGGAAGAAGAGUAGGGAUGCGUCCUUAUGUGACGGUACCGAAUGAAUAAGCACCGGCUAACUCCGUGCCAGCAGCCGCGGUAAUACGGAGGGUGCGAGCGUUGUCCGGAUUUAUUGGGGGUCAAGGGUGCGUAGGUGGCUUAAUAAGUCAGUAGUGAACUACGGUUGCUUAACAAGCGAGGUGCCAUUGAUACUGUUAGGCUUGAAAUAAUUGGAGGCUGCCGGAAUGGAUGGUGUAGCGGUGAAAUGCAUAGAUAUCAUCCAGAACACCGAUUGCGAAGGCAGGUGGCUACGAUUUAUUUGACACUGAUGCACGAAAGCAUGGGGAGCAAACAGGAUUAGAAACCCGUGUAGUCC